rnacentral:rRNA from 1 species
UGUAGAAUACAAGGGAGUGAAAACAUCCGUGAAAUACCUUGAUAUAUUGAAAUGAAUGGCUUAUUUAUUAAAAGACAGUGUCAGAUGGUCAGUUUUACUGGGGCGGUAGCCUCUAAAAAAGUAUCAGAGGCCUUCAAAGGUAUAUUUAAAUUGGUCGGAAACCAAUGGAAUAAUAGUAUUCUAUCAAAAUGUAAUGAUAAAGUAUGCUUUACUGAAAGAUUGAUAAAUCGAUCAGUUACGCAAGUAGGAUAUAGUGAU